rnacentral:rRNA from 1 species
AAUCCUUCGGGAGGACGUUAGUGGAACGAGCGGCGGACGGGUGAGUAACACGUGGGCAACCUGCCUGUAAGACUGGGAUAACUCCGGGAAACCGGGGCUAAUACCGGAUAAUACUUUCUUCCACAUGGAGGGAAGUUGAAAGAUGGCUCCGGCUAUCACUUACAGAUGGGCCCGCGGUGCAUUAGCUAGUUGGUGAGGUAACGGCUCACCAAGGCAACGAUGCAUAGCCGACCUGAGAGGGUGAUCGGCCACACUGGGACUGAGACACGGCCCAGACUCCUACGGGAGGCAGCAGUAGGGAAUCUUCCGCAAUGGACGAAAGUCUGACGGAGCAACGCCGCGUGAACGAAGAAGGUUUUCGGAUCGUAAAGUUCUGUUGUUAGGGAAGAACAAGUACCGUUCAAAUAGGGCGGUACCUUGACGGUACCUAUCGAGGAAGCCCCGGCUAACUACGUGCCAGCAGCCGCGGUAAUACGUAGGGGGCAAGCGUUGUCCGGAAUUAUUGGGCGUAAAGCGCGCGUAGGCGGUUUCUUAAGUCUGAUGUGAAAUCUUGCGGCUCAACCGCAAGCGGUCAUUGGAAACUGGGGAACUUGAGUACAGAAGAGGAGAGCGGAAUUCCACGUGUAGCGGUGAAAUGCGCAGAUAUCG